GCCCACUGAUGAGAUUUUUGGCAAGUUUUAUGAUUCAGUCAGAAAGAUUUUUGUCUGUAGCCAGCUGAUAGAUGGGUAGUUUUGGCAGGGUGAUGGAGUUUUAUUCCACUGCUGUAAGGGCCCACCUACAGUCAAUUUGUCAUGUCUUACAAUUUCUACCAACCAAGGACGUCAUGGUAAAAGUAGGAGAUGCCAGACAAUGUGACAAUGUUCAGAUGUAUGUUUUGUGUGUGUGUGUGUGUGUGUUGUAUGAAUGUAUUUGUAUCAGCUGGCAAGGACAUAAAUCUCUAUAUAGUAGAUCUGGCAGGUAUGAACUACAUUCUUUGGUAAUCUGAGGGCA
ensembl:snoRNA small nucleolar RNA U85